GCGGCGGCGGCGGCCGGAGCUGGAGGGGGAGGAGGGGAGGAACCUGAUCUCUCCGGUAGCGAAGGGCUGGAGGCAAACACCGAGCUCCCCCAGAGCCGCCCGGGAGCAGGGAGGGCACCGCUACCGCGAGGGGCCCUCCCCGCGGGGCAGAUGAAUUCAGUAUCCAGAUUCUCUGAGCCAUGUUUUGGGAUCACCCAAGCAUUCCAUCCUCCUGAAUUUUCAUAAAUUACUGGAUUCAUAACCCACUCCAUACUUGAGAAGAUGGGGAUUGGAAUAAGGAUCAAGAAUGGAGUGACCCCUCAUUCUGUCACUCACUAUUAUAUCAUUGGGGCAAAGAGACAAAGACUCUGUUCUGUUGUUGGAAGUGACUCCUUUUCCAUUAUCACUAUUUUCCUGCAAUACUUUAGUCAAAAGGAGCAAGGCACUAUGUCACAGGUGCAGCUUCUUCAUUUUCUUCUCAGCUGGCCUGGGCUUAGGACGAUGAUCUGCCACUCUCAUGUAUCAACCCAACCCACAGGUAUGAAUCAUCAGUGUCUUCAACUAAGAGGACCGAUAUCUUCUAGUUAAUGACAGAAGCGGAGGAGGAAUGGAAAGAAGCCUGUCAGAGGCUCCCAGGUGAUGCUGAUGCUGCCCUUCUGAGGACCACACUGAGUCACCAGACCAUAAACAAACCUCAUCACUAUGAGGUCAGCUUGCCUUCCACAGCAAAACAGAGUCAAAGGGCAGCCAGAGGUGAGCCCCCCUGGGGUCGUUUUCUUAGGUUACAAAGCUAGGGUCUAAGAGUAGAACUGAAUGCCUUCUGGAAAGAUGCUUCAUGCAAGUCUGAAUAAAACGGAUCUUUUGAAAUGUCGGGAUGCAUACAGUUACCAGAAGGCUGCCUACUCAGCAGGCUGGAGUUGGUGCUUUCUAGAAUGCAACGUCUUUCCAGAGAAACCCCUGUAACAAAAAAGGUGGUGAAGAUUCCUAUGCUGGUCCCGUUUCCUCAGUGAUUCCCUAGCAUUGUGGCAUGUGGGGUGAACCACCAGUGGACUAGCUCCAGUUAUUAAAGGAAGGCUGUUGGCCAGCAUGGUGUAAAGAGGAAAAGGAAUCUGGGAAAUAAAUUACUUCCAUCUCAGCCAGAAUAAUUGUUUCACGUUUACUGAAAUAAAAUAAAAAAGAAAUAGGAAAAUUUUCCAUUUUCUUAACAGCUAGCUCACCUCUGUGCUACCUAUUUUCCUGAGAGAGAGAAAAAGAGGGCGAUAAAAAUCUGUGGCAUCUUUACUCCCAGUGCUACCUCCAGUUGAUCUGUAACAUAUCUGCUGUGUGCAUCUUUAAAGCAACAUUUGUCCUAUUCUUUGUUUCCCAUUCAACUGAGCGUCGUAAAGUAUACAGAGGAACGUAUGGGAAAAAAGGAGGAGGGAGAUUCCCAUCAUGAAAAUGUGAUGUUGAAAUCAGAGUAUGA